AGAGACGAGUCAGAGUUUGAUCCUGGCUCAGGACGAACGCUGGCGGCGUGCCUAACACAUGCAAGUCGAGCGGGGAAGAUUGGAAGCUUGCUUUUGAUCUUUCUAGCGGCGGACGGGUGAGUAACGCGUGAGCAAUCUGUCUCAAACAGGGGGAUAACGCAGCGAAAGUUGCACUAAUACCGCAUAAGACCACAGUGCCGCAUGGUACAGGGGUCAAAGGAGCAAUCCGGUUUGAGGUGAGCUCGCGUCCCAUUAGGUAGUUGGUGAGGUAACGGCCCACCAAGCCUGCGAUGGGUAGCCGACCUGAGAGGGUGAUCGGCCACACUGGAACUGAGACACGGUCCAG
rnacentral:rRNA from 1 species